UGCCUAUAAAUGGAUGUCAAGCAAAUGUUCAAACCUUAUAGGAAAAAAAAAGUGUCUCAAAACCCACAAUCUCAUGCUUUGUGUCUUUCAUCAAUGAAUCUAAUAUCAUAACAAAAGGCCAUCCACUCCACAUUUACAACAUAACACAUAAUAUUUACCAUUAUAACAAACCAGACACAUGACACAUGAAUUUGCCAUGCAAAAGGAAUGUAAUUUUUAUCGUAACACAUAAAUGUUACCAGUCAAUGGAGAAAUUCUAACACAAAUGUUAUCGUAAUAAUAUUGCAAAUUACUAUACUGACAAAUAUUUGCAUCCCAGAUGUGCAUGUCGGUUCUCAAUGUAGGAAGGCUCAGCGGCAUUCCUUUUUUACGUCGAUGAAAACACUUGCUGUUGACAGGAACAUGUGCUUUGAACACCAGUCAAAGGAAACUCUGGAAACUUGCGCAUUGGCAAUUUAACAGGUCCAUUUGCAAUCUUCAAGCCAUUUCUUUCAAUCUCUCUGGCUCAACAAAGCAAUAAUGAACUAAAUUCGAGCCAUUUGUUCCAAUCUCUCUGGCCCAACAAAGUAAUAAUGAACUAAAUUUAAAAAUCUGAUUAAUUCAAAUAAUGUGGUUGUCCACAUCAAAUACCAUCUUAUGAAAAUGUGGUACAAAAACAUGAUAUAAAUAACAUUACUCUAAUAAAAAUAAGAAUCAACAAAAAAAGGAAAUUAUAUUGAUAGAAAUCAAUAAUAAAAAACGCAAAGGAUUUGAAAUUAAAUCAGAAGAGAAACACCUACCAAGAAUCAAUAAAAAAAUAGCAAAUUACAUUGAUGGAAAUCAAUAAAAAAAACAGUUUGAAAUCAAAUCAGAAAAGCAACACAUACAAGGAAAAUUUGAACAGAAUGUGGCAAAGAUGUUGAACUUCCAAAAACAUUUAUUCAUUCUUGUGUCUCAAAACAAUUCUAAUGUUACCAUAGAAUUAAAUACCAUAUUUAUAUCUAAUAGUUUUUUUUUUUUUUUCGAAAGAUAGGGAUUCAAUAAAUACGAAUAGAAAGAUUAGCAUCCUUAGCAACAGUGUUAAACAGAAAGUCCGGGCCGAUACAAUCCCAGAUAAACUCUUAGCCUUGCUUGAAAACAUAC
rnacentral:lncRNA from 1 species